AGGGCACCACCAGGAGUGGAGCCUGCGGCUUAAUUUGACUCAACACGGGAAAACUCACCCGGCCCGGACACUGGAAGGAUUGACAGAUUGAGAGCUCUUUCUUGAUUCAGUGGGUGGUGGUGCAUGGCCGUUCUUAGUUGGUGGAGUGAUUUGUCUGGUUAAUUCCGAUAACGAACGAGACUCUAGCCUACUAAAUAGAUCGUCGGCUUACAAACGCCGGCGAGACUUCUUAGAGGGACAGGCGGUGAUUCAACCGCACGAAACAGAGCAAUAACAGGUCUGUGAUGCCCUUAGAUGUCCGGGGCCGCACGCGCGCUACACUGAAGUGAUCAGCGUGCUUUUUCAACCUACUCUGUCAAGAGUGGGGAACCCAAUGAACCUUCUUCGUGAUUGGGAUAGGGGAUUGUAAUUAUUCCCCUUGAACGAGGAAUUCCCAGUAAGCGCGAGUCAUAAGCUCGCGUUGAUUACGUCCCUGCCCUUUGUACACACCGCUCGUCUCUACUACCGAUUGAAUGUUUU
rnacentral:rRNA from 1 species